rnacentral:lncRNA from 1 species
GUGCAUGACUUGGGGCUGUGGGUGUCUUGUAGCCAAAUUGGCUGAGGGGUGAGGCUUGCCCACCCUGCAGCUGGCCUGCAACGAGCCAAACAAUCCUUAAAAAUGAAGCUAUAACUAUUUUCGCUAUAACGUUUUCCCUCACUAUCGCUGAUAUACAUUUCCUUCUUGGUACUUUAUGAGUUUCUGGUUUAAAUUUGCUAUUUCCAUACAGUCAGUACAAUUUUCUUUCUCUUAGUUUAAAGUUGCAUUGAAACAGCUUUAUGCUGCUAGAUUUAAUCGAUUGAUAAUAGGUCUUGUUCAAACCUCACACGUCUUGUAAGUCUCUUGUGGAGCCAACGUCAUUUGUUGUAUUAAUUACGUGCCAGUAGGAAACCUGGCCCAUAAUCUGACAUCCUGAACAGACUUAAUUUGACCUCCCUCUUCAAGUCUUCUCAGAGUAGCUAUGUAUAUAUAUAUAUAU